rfam:Echinops telfairi cont1.140198, whole genome shotgun sequence.
AUACUGAAUUUUCCUGUGCUCAUGGGCUCCGUCCACAUAUCCUCUGGUAAUGGCCAUUUGACUUCCAUUAAAGCCAAGUAACAAGAAACACAAACAGAAGAAGGUUGGAGAGGAAGU